rnacentral:lncRNA from 1 species
CUGGGACUGAGCCCCAGCAGCCUCCCUGGCCUGGGAUUCCAGCAUUAGCACCACAUUUCUGACUCUGGGUUAAACUCACGAAGUUCUACCCAAAGCCAGCAUAAGGUCCAGAUGGGCCCUUGAUGAGCAUUCAGACUGCUGAAAAGGGCCAAGGUCUUGGCAUCCUCCAUGCCAUCACAACAGCUUCUCAGAAGCUUGGAAGGGAUGAAACAGUUGACUCUGGAGUGAAUCUGGACAAGAGGGGCAGCCUGGUCAGCUCAGGUACAGCAGAUGUGGCUGAUGGUUCUCUCCCUACCCUGGCUACCAGCAUCAUCCUUGGACAGAGCUCUGGUUAGAUCCAGAGACACCUCUCACUCUUCCUACUCCUCCCACCAACCCUCCUGCCACUCAGGCAAGUGUGAUUUCAUUUCCAGUGCUGGGGUAAAUCACAAAUGACCCAAACCCUCCUUCAGAUUGUGGUUGGUUUCAUAGUGGGCUCCUGACCAAGUUCUGCUCAGUAUUUUAAGAGGAGAUUUGCUCAGAUGCUUCUGGGAAAUUUCCCCCGUUGUUAAGAAAGUGAGUUUUUAAGUCACUAAUUUUGGUGGUGAUUCUGGAGGUAGGUAUGAGGCCUAGAUUGCUGCCACUCUCUGGGGAUCAAGAUGGACUGGCCUUGGAGACCAGGCAAUACCAUAUGCUGCAAAAUGCAGCAGAAACAGGCAGGAAGAGAGCCUGGAUCCUUGAGUAGACCACUGAAUUGCUGAAUCAACAAACCCUGAAACUGGUCUAACUCUGGAUUUCCUGUCCUGUAAUUCAUCCCAGAUUGUUUGAGGGUGGGUUUUUUCUUUUUCUUUUUUCUUUUUUUCCACUAGUGGCCAAAGGCAUCCUAAGUGGUGUAAUGGCCAGACUUUUUGUUCCUAGCAAUUGGAUCAUCCCAUGCUUCAUGUUUGAAUGCAGGGAUUGCUCUACAAGUUGACCCAGGCCUGGGAGCACGGGAAACCUCAUCUUUCUUGGUCUUGGUGUCCUUAACUGCUAUGAGAAUACCAAAGGACCAAGGAUGAUGGUGACUCUGUCUAGCCUUGAGGAGACCUGAAUUCUGUUCCAAGAAGCUUCCAAAUUGACCUUGGAAAUGAAAACAUCUCAUUAGACUAAAAGGUGGUGUGAACUGCAUCUCUUUUAUGUCUAGUAGCUAGGACCCGAGAGUCCCUAAUUUUACCUUGUGGAAAUGAAAUAGAGUAUCAGCUCAUGACUGAAAAUAAGGAGAUCGGAACUCUAAUCCUAGGUCCAUCCAUCACUACAUUACUGUGUGAAUUUAGGCAAGGCCCCUUUUGGGAGUUAGAAAGUCCCCUUGUCUAGAGAUUAUAUAAUCUCUGAUGAAGGGUACUUAUUGGAAAUAAAGGGUUAUUUCAAGUGGAAUGGCAUUCCAGCUGAUUAGAACAUGCAAUCUAUUGGAAGCCUCCUCUGUGGUCUUCUUUAAUGAAAAGAAGCUGAUCACCAGAAAACACAUGGAUAUCAUGUAUUUGUCUAUGUGGGAUUUUUUCCCUUUGAAGUAAAUUUCAGGGUAUAACUUGGAGUCAGUUCCCAUGAUACUUGUCUCCUAUCAUCUAAUGUAUGCAGUGAAAUCCAAGUCUAUAUAUAACAAACCUAACCCUGAAGUCCUGCAAUGGGGCUCAUCCAGAUGCAGUUAUUUAUACAGAAAGUAAAGCAGAC